rnacentral:rRNA from 1 species
GAUGAACGCUGGCGGCGUGCUUAACACAUGCAAGUCGAACGGUGAACCCGGAGCUUGCUCUGUGGGAUCAGUGGCGAACGGGUGAGUAACACGUGAGCAACCUGCCCCUGACUCUGGGAUAAGCGCUGGAAACGGCGUCUAAUACUGGAUAUGUGACGUGACCGCAUGGUCUGCGUUUGGAAAGAUUUUUCGGUUGGGGAUGGGCUCGCGGCCUAUCAGCUUGUUGGUGAGGUAAUGGCUCACCAAGGCGUCGACGGGUAGCCGGCCUGAGAGGGUGACCGGCCACACUGGGAUUGAGACACGGCCCAGACUCCUACGGGAGGCAGCAGUGGGGAAUAUUGCACAAUGGGCGAAAGCCUGAUGCAGCAACGCCGCGUGGGGGAUGACGGCCUUCGGGUUGUAAACCUUUUUUAGCAGGGAAGAAGCGAAAGUGACGGUACCUGUAGAAAAAGCGCCGGCUAACUACGUG